ACUCCUACGGGAGGCAGCAGUGGGGAAUUUUGGACAAUGGGGGCAACCCUGAUCCAGCCAUGCCGCGUGAGUGAAGAAGGCCUUCGGGUUGUAAAGCUCUUUCGGCCGGGAAGAAAUCGUGUUCUCUGACAUAGGACAUGGAUGACGGUACCGGACUAAGAAGCACCGGCUAACUACGUGCCAGCAGCCGCGGUAAUACGUAGGGUGCGAGCGUUAAUCGGAAUUACUGGGCGUAAAGCGUGCGCAGGCGGUUUUGUAAGACAGAUGUGAAAUCCCCGGGCUUAACCUGGGAACUGCGUUUGUGACUGCAAGGCUAGAGUACGGCAGAGGGGGGUGGAAUUCCUGGUGUAGCAGUGAAAUGCGUAGAUAUCAGGAGGAACACCGAUGGCGAAGGCAGCCCCCUGGGCCUGUACUGACGCUCAUGCACGAAAGCGUGGGGAGCAAACAGGAUUAGAUACCCUGGUAGUC
rnacentral:rRNA from 1 species